GACGAACGCUGGCGGCGUGCUUAACACAUGCAAGUCGAACGGAAAGGCCCUGCUUUUGUGGGGUGCUCGAGUGGCGAACGGGUGAGUAGCACGUGAGUAACCUGCCCUUGAUUUUGGGAUAACUUCAGGAAACUGGGGCUAAUACCGGAUAGGAGCUCCUGCUGCAUGGUGGGGGUUGGAAAGUUUCGGCGGUUGGGGAUGGAUGCGCGGCUUAUCAGCUUGUUGGUGGGGUAGUGGCUUACCAAGGCUUUGACGGGUAGCCGGCCUGAGAGGGUGACCGGCCACAUUGGGACUGAGAUACGGCCCAGACUCCUACGGGAGGCAGCGGUGGGGAAUAUUGCACAAUGGGCGGAAGCCGGAUGCAGCAACGCCGCGUGCGGGAUGACGGCCUUCGGGUUGUAAACCGCUUUCGCCUGUGACGAAGCGUGAGUGACGGUAAUGGGUAAAGAAGCACCGGCUAACUACGUG
rnacentral:rRNA from 1 species